rnacentral:rRNA from 1 species
CAGCAGCCGCGGGAACACGGAGGGAGCUAGCGUUGUUCGGAAUUACUGGGCGUAAAGCGCGCGUAGGCGGUUACUCAAGUCAGAGGUGAAAGCCCGGGGCUCAACCCCGGAACUGCCUUUGAAACUAGGUGACUAGAAUCUUGGAGAGGUCAGUGGAAUUCCGAGUGUAGAGGUGAAAUUCGUAGAUAUUCGGAAGAACACCAGUGGCGAAGGCGACUGACUGGACAAGUAUUGACGCUGAGGUGCGAAAGCGUGGGGAGCAAACAGGAUUAGAUACCCGCGUAGUCCCUGUCUCUUAUAC